rnacentral:rRNA from 1 species
UACGAAGGGGGCUAGCGUUGCUCGGAAUUACUGGGCGUAAAGCGCACGUAGGCGGAUCCUUAAGUCGGUGGUGAAAUCCUGAAGCUCAACUUCAGAACUGCCUUCGAUACUGGGGACCUUGAGUUCGGGAGAGGUGAGUGGAACUGCGAGUGUAGAGGUGAAAUUCGUAGAUAUUCGCAAGAACACCAGUGGCAAAGGCGGCUCACUGGCCCGAUACUGACGCUGAGGUGCGAAAGCGUGGGGAGCGAUCCGG